rnacentral:lncRNA from 1 species
ACAUUUCUUCCGAGGCAAUAAAAUAAUAAAUAUACUAUAACACCCUAGUUAUUAAGUCAUCUCAUUUAUCAAGCUAAAUGUUUAAGAUAAUGGUGGAAAAAAUUUAGGAAUUGCAAUAAUUAUUCUAAAUUUUUCUUUAAAAAUAACAGAUUACUUUCAAGAUACAGCACACAUUCUUAACACAUUUAUUUUCAGAUAUUUUCAUAAAAUUAUUGAGAGAUAAUUGCACAAAUAUUUUAAAAUUUAGAUUUAUGAUUUGUUCAUAUUAUCAUGUUGCUAAAAAAAAUAUUGGCAUACAAGGCUAAGCAAAUAAACAAAAGAUAUAUAUAAAGAAUGACCCAAAAUCAGUGAUAAAAAUUGUAAUUUUUGAAUUUUUAGAUAUACAUUUUUCGGAAAAAAAAAACUAUUUCGUAGAACAUUUUCUUCAUUAUUACUAUGAUAUAUGAUUGUAUUUAAUUUAAGUUGAAUGAUAAGGUUUUUCAAAAUUAAUAAAUGUAAAUAAUGGGCUCACAAAGCUAAUUGGAGCCGAACUAAAUUCUAAUUUGUGGUUCCUCACAAAUUUAAUUGACUAUAAAUUAAUAAAUACUUAGCACUUUACUCUUGUUGGUUUUCAAAGUUGCUUACCACUAUUGGAAUUAGGCCUCUCUUUAUUUCUUACAUUUUUACUUGUCCAUGGUGAGAAAAAAAAAUUAAAAAUUACCUUGUUUGCUUUAACAUAUAAAAAUAUUUUGCUAUCGUGUUUUUACAUUUAAUAUUACGUAAUUUUUCCCCAAAUUAUUUCCUAAUUAGUUAUAACUUAUAAAAGUUUUAACUUGAUGGUCUGGCUCUACGUUUCCUUAUCAAUUUGCAAUCUCGGGCAAUAUUUUUCAAUAUUUAUGUUUUUAUUUGACAU